rnacentral:tRNA from 1 species
AAGUCUUAAGUUAAAAAAACUAUUAACCUUCAAAGUUGAAAAUAUAAUUUAGACUUUGG